GACGAACGCUGGCGGCGUGCCUAAUACAUGCAAGUAGAACGCUGAAGCUUGGUGCUUGCACCGAGCGGAUGAGUUGCGAACGGGUGAGUAACGCGUAGGUAACCUGCCUGGUAGCGGGGGAUAACUAUUGGAAACGAUAGCUAAUACCGCAUAAUAGUAGAUGUUGCAUGACAUUUGCUUAAAAGGUGCAAUUGCAUCACUCCAGAUGGACCUGCGUUGUAUUAGCUAGUUGGUGAGGUAACGGCUCACCAAGGCGACGAUACAUAGCCGACCUGAGAGGGUGAUCGGCCACACUGGGACUGAGACACGGCCCAGACUCCUACGGGAGGCAGCAGUAGGGAAUCUUCGGCAAUGGACGGAAGUCUGACCGAGCAACGCCGCGUGAGUGAAGAAGGUUUUCGGAUCGUAAAGCUCUGUUGUAAGAGAAGAACGAGUGUGAGAAGUGGAAA
rnacentral:rRNA from 1 species